CGCAUUAAAGGGAAAGAUUGUUGGGUUUUGGAGGAGAUGGAAAAAUCUCAGAGCAAAUGGGGUGGGGAGCUUUCCUAUGAGCUUGGUAGAGAGAAGAUUGUUUUGGUGGUGAUUUGCUCUAAAGGUUUGAGAGAGAAUUUGCAGAGUCUGAGGGAGAUUGAUGGAAGAGUGCAGCAAUAGAGAGAGAGAUUGGGGACUUUGUUGCGUAUUGGUAGAGAGAGAAUGGGGACUAGAAUGCAGGGAAGAGAGAGAAUAGAUGGGUCUGUAGCUUCUGAUGAGAGGGAGGUUUAGAGAGAGAAACUGCAUGUUCUUGUCAUCUCCUGGGCUCCAAUGGCG
rnacentral:lncRNA from 1 species